rnacentral:rRNA from 1 species
CACUCCUACGGGAGGCAGCAGUGGGGAAUAUUGCACAAUGGGCGCAAGCCUGAUGCAGCCAUGCCGCGUGUAUGAAGAAGGCCUUCGGGUUGUAAAGUACUUUCAGCGGGGAGGAAGGCGAUAAGGUUAAUAACCUUGUCGAUUGACGUUACCCGCAGAAGAAGCACCGGCUAACUCCGUGCCAGCAGCCGCGGUAAUACGGAGGGUGCAAGCGUUAAUCGGAAUUACUGGGCGUAAAGCGCACGCAGGCGGUCUGUCAAGUCGGAUGUGAAAUCCCCGGGCUCAACCUGGGAACUGCAUUCGAAACUGGCAGGCUAGAGUCUUGUAGAGGGGGGUAGAAUUCCAGGUGUAGCGGUGAAAUGCGUAGAGAUCUGGAGGAAUACCGGUGGCGAAGGCGGCCCCCUGGACAAAGACUGACGCUCAGGUGCGAAAGCGUGGGGAGCAAACAGGAUUAGAUACCCUAGUAGUCCCAUGA